UACGAAGGGGGCUAGCGUUGCUCGGAAUUACUGGGCGUAAAGGGCGCGUAGGCGGCCUGUUAAGUCGGACGUGAAAUCCCUCGGCUCAACCGGGGAACUGCGUCCGAUACUGGCGGGCUUGAAUUCGGGAGAGGGAUGUGGAAUUCCAGGUGUAGCGGUGAAAUGCGUAGAUAUCUGGAGGAACACCGGUGGCGAAGGCGGCAUCCUGGACCGACAUUGACGCUGAGGCGCGAAAGCCAGGGGAGCAAACGGG
rnacentral:rRNA from 1 species